AACCUUUGAGAAGCUGCGGAGAGUGGGAAUGACUGGGAGAGUGGAGCCGGGCAAAUGGACACAAUGGCUCAAAGCCGAAUCCCAAAUCCUGCAGCUUGAUUGAGGGGGGGGGGUGACUCUUCCUCCUCCUCUCUUUCCUCCUGGCUUUUCCUUCUUUUAUUCCUUUCUCUUUUUUUUCUUUUGUUUUGUUUUAACAUGAAGGGGUGGGGGGUUGCGAGGAGGGGUGCUCAGUUUCCUUGUUUGUUUUUGUUGAGACAGAGUCUUACCGCCCUGGGUAGGGUGGAGUGACAUCAUUGUAGCUGUCUGCAACCUCCGACUCCUGGGCUCUAGUGAUCCUUCUGCCUCAGCCUGCCAGACUCUCUCUCACCUACCCUCAGUCUUUGCAGACUCCAGAAGGACCUUUGACUCAAGCAUGGCCAAUUACUUCUUUUUUCCUAAAGCCCUGGGAAGACAGGAAGUUCAAUUUGAUCAGAUCCUGCUUGUCAGUGGUGAAGCAAAAACAAACGAAUAGAAAACCCAUGUCAGGGUUUCUUAGCACAGAGAUGAGUGAGGGCGUCAGUUCCAGCUCUCUCAACACUCCUUCAGCAAAGAGGUAUUCUACAGGAAGUCUUUCAACCACAGCAUCAAAGAAACAAAUAGAUUCAAAGGUAAAUGCUGGUCUCGAGGGAGAACAAAUGAUCACCAUUAUCCCCUGAUAAAGCAGAUGGGAGAACAUGGCUUUCAGUGUGUGGACAAGUGAGCUUGCAAAGCUUCACCCCGAAUGUCAUCAGCAGUGGUCAAGAUGGUGGCUGCUCGUAAGCCAGUGUGAGAGGGCCUGCAGAGACCAGAGCCCCCCUGAAACUGGAAAUGGACGGGGAGCAGGUGCCACUGAGAUUUGGGGGUUCCUGCUCAGCGUACCCAGGACUCCACCUGAGAACAUUCUCCGGCGCGCAGACCUCGCCAGAGCAGGCCAGAGUACAGGGAGCCGUCCCUGGAGCCGGGGUCAGCUACAAGGACGGCGCUCACCCUUCAUGCCGGGAAAAUCCGAGGCGUGUCUAUGUGCCUUGGAAUCUUCCAGAAGCCCCCAAAGCUUUGCGCCUCAGUUGCUCACGGAGGUAACCUGCUAGUUAACAAACCUGGGGAGGCUCCCUCCCCUUCCUUCCUCAUUUCCUCGUUUCUCACUGGGGCGGGCAGGGACCACUUCCCAAAUGAACUUUUCUGUUUUCCUCCACGAAGUCAGUCCCCAGACGAAGUCAGUCCCCUGUUGCACUGGAAUCUUUGUCCCUGGUCGGCUUCCAGAGGAACCCAGCCCAGGAUGUCACCUUUCCACAGGUCCCACCUCCAACCCCAUGGGAGGGCUGACAGCGGGAGCCCGAGAGCGGCCGCAGAGUGGGAAGCGGGCGACUCUCCCAGCCGAAAAGCAGAUGCUGGCAGGGCCUCUCGCCGUCAGAGAGAAGCCCACACCACUUCCGUAUUUUGUGGGUCUCAGUUUAUGAAAAAGGAAAAAGAAGAAACAGCAGACGGGGUUACCAACCCUGUGGUUGGUUUGCAAAGCCCAGUCCCGUCGGAGGUGGCGUCGACGUGUCAGUGGGAGGCCCUUCUGGCCAGCCGGGCCCAGGCCCUCAGGUGUUAAUAAGUCCUGGGAGCGUGGAGAACGUGCCUGAGCGCCCAGAGCUUCUGUGGUGCAGAGGGAGGAGGGACGGGGAAGAUGAGCUUAAUGGGGGUGUCUGGAAAUCACUCCUCCUCCCUCAGCUUCCCCUGUCGUGAACUCGUCCCUCUGCGAGGCCCCUCUGGUUGAGCGUCUUAACCUGAUUUCUGCAGGGUAACAUAGUUGGAGGCGUCCCUCUCUUCCUGCCUCGGUCUCCCAGCGCGCCUCCUCCCCUGAAGUCGAAGGGAGGGAAGCAAAGGGCUGUGUGUGACGCAGGGCAGCCACACACAGAGUUGGCUCUGCAGAGACAAACAACGCCAUCUGCCAUCUGGUUUGAGCGGCCUCCUGAGUCGGGAACCACCUCCUGCCUAGUCUCAUGGUGUGAGGAGAUGUCCCGAUCGCCUCUGAGAUGCCGGUGAGCUCGCCUCUGGGGAGGCGCGUUAGCUUCCCCUGGGCCAGCCUCUGUCUCUGGUGAUGACAGGGCUGCUUGGUUGUGGCUCCCGUCUCCCAGCUGCUUACAUGGGUGCCUGCUUCCACCCCGGCUCUGCUUUCCUUUCGAGCCCCUAAUAUGCAGGGGACAAUUCACAUUUUAAGAAAGAGCUGCCUGCAUUUAACUGUGAAGAAAGACAGGAGGGGAAAGUCUUUGUCCUGUCAGGAUGGCUUCCGGGCCAAGGGAGGGAAGAUGCUGAGAACUGGAUGGAAAGUCGCUGGGAUCUCGGGAGGAAGGAGCAUCUUGAAUUAGAAACAUUUUGUUUUCUGGAUUUUCAUAUCAUGUGUGCAUUACACAAAAAUAUGGAAGAUUAUUCUUGCUGAUAAAAGAACUGGCAUUUGGCUGGGCACUGUGGCUCAAACCUGUAAUCCCAGCAUUUUGGGAGGGCAAGGUGGGAGGAUCAUUUGAGGC